GCCUUGCUAGCUCAAUCGGUAGAGCAUGAGACUCUCAGGUUCAUGGGUUCAAGCCCCAUGUCAGGCG
rnacentral:tRNA from 1 species